rnacentral:rRNA from 1 species
AAUAGAUACCCGGGUAGUCCACGCCCUAAACUAUGUCGACUGGUUGUUGGGGGAGUCUGUCCCUCAGUAACGUAGCUAACGCGUGAAGUCGACCGCCUGGGGAGUACGGUCGCAAGAUUAAAACUCAAAGGAAUUGACGGGGACCCGCACAAGCGGUGGAUUAUGUGGAUUAAUUCGAUGCAACGCGAAGAACCUUACCUACCCUUGACAUGCCAGGAACCCCGCAGAGAUGUGGGGGUGCCCGAAAGGGAACCUGGACACAGGUGCUGCAUGGCUGUCGUCAGCUCGUGUCGUGAGAUGUUGGGUUAAGUCCCGCAACGAGCGCAACCCUUGCCAUUAGUUGCUACAUUCAGUUGGGCACUCUAAUGGGACUGCCGGUGACAAACCGGAGGAAGGUGGGGAUGACGUCAAGUCCUCAUGGCCCUUAUGGGUAGGGCUUCACACGUAAUACAAUGGCGCAUACAGAGGGCUGCAAACCCGCGAGGGGGAGCCAAUCCCAAAAAGUGCGUCGUAGUCCGGAUUGUUCUCUGCAACUCGAGAGC